UGAACGCUGGCGGCGUGCCUAAUACAUGCAAGUCGAGCGAACAGACGAGGAGCUUGCUCCUCUGACGUUAGCGGCGGACGGGUGAGUAACACGUGGAUAACCUACCUAUAAGACUGGGAUAACUUCGGGAAACCGGAGCUAAUACCGGAUAAUAUUUUGAACCGCAUGGUUCAAAAGUGAAAGACGGUCUUGCUGUCACUUAUAGAUGGAUCCGCGCUGCAUUAGCUAGUUGGUAAGGUAACGGCUUACCAAGGCAACGAUGCAUAGCCGACCUGAGAGGGUGAUCGGCCACACUGGAACUGAGACACGGUCCAGACUCCUACGGGAGGCAGCAGUAGGGAAUCUUCCGCAAUGGGCGAAAGCCUGACGGAGCAACGCCGCGUGAGUGAUGAAGGUCUUCGGAUCGUAAAACUCUGUUAUUAGGGAAGAACAUAUGUGUAAGUAACUGUGCACAUCUUGACGGUACCUAAUCAGAAAGCCACGGCUAACUACGUG
rnacentral:rRNA from 1 species